rnacentral:rRNA from 1 species
UCUUGCGCAAUGGGCGAAAGCCUGACGCAGCGACGCCGCGUGGGGGAUGAAGGCCUUCGGGUUGUAAACCCCUUUCAGGAGGGAAGAUGGGACGGGCAACCGUUCGGACGGUACCUUCAGAAGCAGCCACGGCUAACUCUGUGCCAGCAGCCGCGGUAAGACAGAGGUGGCAAACGUUGUUCGGAUUUACUGGGCGUAAAGGGUGCGUAGGUGGUUAGGUAAGACCUGCGGGAAAGACCUGGGCUUAACCCAGGAAGGUCGUAGGUGACUGCCUGGCUAGAGGGCGGGAGAGGAGAGCGGAAUUCCCGGUGUAGCGGUGAAAUGCGUAGAGAUCGGGAGGAAGGCCGGUGGCGAAGGCGGCUCUCUGGAACGUUCCUGACACUGAGCACGAAA